rnacentral:rRNA from 1 species
UACAGAGGGGGCAAGCGUUGUUCGGAAUUACUGGGCGUAAAGGGCGCGUAGGCGGCAAUUCAAGUCAGCUGUGAAAUCUCCGGGCUUAACUCGGAACGGUCAGCUGAUACUGCUUUGCUAGAGUGCAGAAGGGGCAACCGGAAUUCUUGGUGUAGCGGUGAAAUGCGUAGAUAUCAAGAGGAACACCGGAGGUGAAGACGGGUUGCUGGGCUGACACUGACGCUGAGGCGCGAAAGCGUGGGGAGCAAACAGG